GAGCAAGGGGGGGUGAAGAAGCAUAAAAGAUGACUCCAGAAUGGACACCAUUGAAGAUCUUCCCGCCAGAGGAUCCCGAACCACGACAGAGGACCAGCAGGACUCCACAGGACCGGAGACCAGAGGGAUGCUUCUGGAACUGGACUGCACACUACAGCUCAUUUGAUACCGAUUCUGGAUUUAAUGACGAACUUCAACAAGGCUGAAACGGACACACACAGAAAGCAAGAAAAGAACAGUGCACUAGUAGAAAAUGUCUUUAUCCUCUAAUUCCAGUUUGAACUCCAGAGAGAAGUGAAGACUCCCCUCAGGACAGACUCUUCCCACAGCUCAUCCUCCCUCCCUCAUUAGCUCACCAAGCAGCAGCAUCAGAAGCAACUGGGGGUUAGUGACACAUUGUAAUUAUCAACUGAUAGUCUGUCCCUGGGAAAAGCAGAAGAGAAGUCUCUAAUUAACAUGGGCCAGUUACUUUCCUCUCUUAACGCUUCCUUUGCUGAAGCACAAGGCGGAGCAAUGGUGAGGAAGCCCAAUAAAAAGCCUGAUAGCUACUUGCAUCUCUAUGCCUGGCGGUAAUUGAAGCAGCUUUCACUCCAUCUGAGCACAGAUAUAGCUUUGAGAAAAGCAGGAAACAAAGACAUAUAGGCCUGUCCUCUAGAAACCAACGUUUCAACCCCUGACUCCUCAUGGUACGUGCAAACGGCCACCAUUCAGGAGCCCUGGUCUGAGCUGGCUGUGGGCUGAGUCCCACGAUGUCCAUGCCUUCAGUAGCACAUAUGGAGACCACAUAAACCCACCCUCAGGGUCUGUUGGGUUUGGGGGAUUGCUUUUAGGAUUCUGGAAUAGUUUGCAUCAGGUACAAGGAAGUGCUGUAGGUUCUGACUUUGAUUUCCUAAGGUUAUUUGCAACCCUUGCCAAGGGGAUGGUGCUGAGGAAAUACAAACUGGGAAGAGCAAGUGGCUGAAAGUGGAAUUUCUGAGAAUAUUCCCAGAGCUGAGCUUGAGGCUUUGCUUUGUGGUGCAGGUUCCCAUCAGCAAUGCAGAUGGACAGAGGGGUUUCAGCUCUAUGCCACUACACUGGGUGUGCCCAGUUUCAGUUCUCUUAAAAAAGACAUAUUUUUGCCUUUAUGAGGUACAAGCUCAGGUGGAGGAGAAAGUUUAUGACUGAGAGAAACAUCUUUUCUCAACAGACUGGUCCAAAUCACUCCACAGGGACUCCCAACACUCUCCCAGAGGAAUCACAUGAAAAGCAGACAAGAAAACAAAAGAUGACUGAAUACAUGUCACAGCAAGGAGGAAACCCAAAAUCUUUACCCCUGAGUGUAUUUAAUUGUACCUGACAC